rnacentral:rRNA from 1 species
GGAUGAACGCUGGCGGCGUGCCUAAUACAUGCAAGUCGAGCGAACAGACGAGGAGCUUGCUCCUCUGAUGUUAGCGGCGGACGGGUGAGUAACACGUGGAUAACCUACCUAUAAGACUGGGAUAACUUCGGGAAACCGGAGCUAAUACCGGAUAACAUGUUGAACCGCAUGGUUCAACAGUGAAAGACGGUCUUGCUGUCACUUAUAGAUGGAUCCGCGCCGCAUUAGCUAGUUGGUAAGGUAACGGCUUACCAAGGCAACGAUGCGUAGCCGACCUGAGAGGGUGAUAGGCCACACUGGAACUGAGACACGGUCCAGACUCCUACGGGAGGCAGCAGUAGGGAAUCUUCCGCAAUGGGCGAAAGCCUGACGGAGCAACGCCGCGUGAGUGAAGAAGGUCUUCGGAUCGUAAAACUCUGUUAUUAGGGAAGAACAAAUGUGUAAGUAACUAUGCACGUCUUGACGGUACCUAAUCAGAAAGCCACGGCUAACUACGUG